GCUCACUUCAGCAACGCAUAUACUAAAAUUAGAAUGAUACAAAAAAGAACAUGGCCACCGUGCAUGGAUGACACACAAAUUCAUGAAGUGUUCUAUCUUAAA